rnacentral:rRNA from 2 species
AGGUGUGAUCAUACCAGCAUUGAUGCACCAAAUCCUAACAGAACUCUGCAGUUAAGCGUGGUUGGGCGAGAGUAGUACUUGAAAGUGCGCAUGUCAAGAUAGCACUUU